ensembl:lncRNA
GGGAACUCUCCUCCCUUCUUUCUCUUGCUCUCUUCCUCUAUCUCCGCUCUGACGGCUUUACACAACCUUACCUGGGAAACUCACACAAGUAAAGGGAGGGGCCAGCAACCUGCCCACCUAAUGAAUACAAAACAAAACCUUUUACCAACAGAUGCUGGUCGGAGUACACCUGUGGCACAACGGCACAACAACAUAUUCACAUUUGUCAUGUGAAUUUAAACAAAAAGUCAUCUACAUGUGACAAAGGCUACCUGGGCAAUAAAAGGCAGAACAGACAAAUGAAAGAGCAGAAUGUGGUGAAGGCAAAUAGAGGAGGAGGUGGAGAGAGAACAGUUUUACUGCUGCGUGUUUAAUUAAAGUCAUUGAGGGGAGAGUGGCACGUUCCCUCAGGGCCAUGAGGAGAAAGGACAGCUCAAAGCGAGAGGAAGGGGCUGGACUGCAGUAAAACAGCUGCUUUCUCACAAUGUCAUCCAUUUCCAGUAGAAAGUUAUAUUGUAGAGUCAGAUUUUAAUGGCAAUAAAAGGCAUAAAGGGGUCUUUUGGGCA